rnacentral:rRNA from 1 species
AAUCAACGCUGGCGGCGCGCUUAACACAUGCAAGUCGAACGGGAAAGUGGAGCAAUCCAUGAGUACAGUGGCGUACGGGUGAGUAACACGUGGGUGAUCUACCUCUUAGUGGGGAAUAACCCUGGGAAACCGGAGCUAAUACCGCAUAAGCCCGAGAGGGGAAAGUGGCUUUGUGAAAACAGAGCCGCGCUGAGAGAGGAGCCCGCGGCCGAUUAGCUAGUUGGUAGGGUAAAAGCCUACCAAGGCAGAGAUCGGUAGCCGGCCUGAGAGGGCACACGGCCACACUGGCACUGAAACACGGGCCAGACUCCUACGGGAGGCAGCAGUGGGGAAUCUUGCACAAUGGGGGAAACCCUGAUGCAGCGACGCCGCGUGAGCGAUGAACGCCCCCGUCGGGGGUGUAAAGGCUUCGUUUCGGCAGGGGAAGAUAGUGACGGUACCUGCAGAAGCAGCUGCGGCUAACUACGUGCCAGCAGCCG